rnacentral:rRNA from 1 species
UGCCGGCGGGCACCGCUAUGGGGAUACGCUUAAGGCAUGCGAGUCGAGAGACGAAAGGUCUCGGCGGAUUGCUCAGUAACACGCGAAUAAUCUGCCCUUGGGUGGAGGAUAACCCCGGGAAACUGGGACUAAUACUCCAUAGUCCACCUCUGCUGGAACGCUGGGUGGGCCAAAGCUCCGGCGCCCAAGGAUGAAUUUGCGGCCUAUCAGGUCGUAGUGGGUGUAACGGACCCACUAGCCGAUGACGGGUACGGGCCAUGAGAGUGGUUGCCCGGAGAUGGAUUCUGAGACACGAAUCCAGGUCCUACGGGGCGCAGCAGCCGCGAAAACUUCGCAAUGUGGGAAACCACGACGAGGGAAUCCCCAGUGCUCGUACUAUGUACGAGCUGUUUCUCUGUCUAAAAAGCAGAGAGAGUAAGGGCUGGGUAAGACGGGUGCCAGCCGCCGCGGUAAUACCCGCAGCCCGAGUGGUGCUCGUUAUUAUUGGGCCUAAAACGCCCGUAGCCGGCCUUGUAAAUCCAUGUGGAAAUCGGAGUGCUCAACGCUCCGAAAGGGCGUGGACACUGCAGGGCUUGGGACUGGGUGAGGUCGGAGGUACUUCCGGGGUAGGGGUGAAAUCCUGUAAUCCUGGAAGGACCACCAGUGGCGAAGGCGUCCGACUAGAACGGAUCCGACGGUCAGGGACGAAGCCCUGGGGCGCAAACGGGAUUAGAUACCCCGGUAGUCCUGGGUGUAAACGCUGCAGGCUUGGUGUCGGAGGUCCUACGGGGGCGUCCGGUGCCGGAGCGAAGGUGUUAAGCCUGCUACUUGGGGAGUACGGUCGCAAGACUGAAACUUAAAGGGAUUGGCGGGGGAGCACCGCAACGGGAGGAGCGUGCGGUUCAAUUGGAUUCAACGCCGGAAAACUCACCAGGGGCGACCCUUACAUGAAGGCCAGGCCAACGACCUUGCCUGAUUUUGGGAGAGGUGGUGCAUGGCCGUCGUCAGUUCGUACCGUAAGGCGUUCUGUCAAGUCAGAUAACGAACGAGACCCUCGCCUAUAGUUGCCACCGGCAUCUCCGGAUGCCGAGCACAUUAUGGGGACCGCUGGUGCUAAAUCAGAGGAAGGGGAGGUCAACGGUAGGUCCGUAUGCCCCGAAUCCCCCGGGCUACACGCGCGCUACAAAGGUUGGGACAAUGGGCUCCGACCCCGAGAGGGGGAGGCAAUCCCGAAACCCAAUCGUAGUUCGGACUGAGGGCUGUAACUCGCCCUCACGAAGAUGGAUUCCGUAGUAAUCGCGUGUCAACAUCACGCGGUGAAUAUGCCCCAGCUCCUUGCACACACCGCC